AUGCAAUGGUUGUUUUUUAUACCGUUGCACUAGGAUCAUCUAUUGCAACGACACAUUUCAAUUUGGAUUUAUGGAUUAAGCUAUUGCAACGACUUUAUAGUAACCGUUGCAUUAGAUAUAUCUAUUGCAACGACUUGAUGAUGGUCGUUGCAUUUGAUGAAAUAAUAACAAUAAUGUAAUAUAGGUCGUUGCGUUAGCACACAGAAAAAAUUCGCUCAACAUAUUAUUAUAGUUCCCUCACUUUUUUGACGAAAUUUUAAACGCUACUUUUCACAAGAAAAUUCGCAUCAAUUUCAAACAGCCUUAUCUUCCUCAAACAAAGAAACCCAUCUACUUCCCCUCAAAAAAAAAAAAACAAAACCAUCUACUCAGGUAACUGACAUUAAAUCACAAACUGAAAAACCCUAUCAAUUUUGCCAACAAAUUUCAAUCUUCCAAAUCCUCUCCUAUGAACUGAAAGGAGGAACUGAAUUCACUAAUUGUGAUUAUAUACUAAGAGGAAGAGGGAGAAUUCACGAGAUUUGCUUCAAUAUUAUUCCAAAUUUCUUCCUGAAUUCAUGUAUAUCUGCAAGAUUCAGGUCUUCAACGCAACAAGUAGGCGAAAUUAAUCAAGAAAACCUGAGCACAGAGGCGAAACUCAAGAAAAACAAGCAAAGAGUCGAAAUUUCGAAUACCAGUUGAACUUCAAAGGUGCGUUCCUUUAUUUCGGAAUUCUGGAAAUUCUUUAAAAGUCACGAAACCCAGUCGAGCUCCAAAAUCAAGUCCAUGGUAAUAGGAUAUAAAUAUAGAGUGUAAAUUAUUCAAGAAAAGACAGCAAAGAGUCGAAAUUCAAGAAAA